UGAUGUUGUUUAAUUCGAAGAUACGCGAAAACCUUACCAGGUCUUGACAUACUCUGCAAAGCUAUAGAGAUAUAGUGGAGGUUAACAGAUGUACAGGUGGUGCAUGGUUGUCGUCAGCUCGUGUCGUGAGAUGUUGGGUUAAGUCCCGCAACGAGCGCAACCCUUAUUGCUAGUUACCAUCAUUCAGUUGGGGACUCUAGCGAGACUGCCAGUGAUAAACUGGAGGAAGGUGGGGAUGACGUCAAAUCAUCAUGCCCCUUAUGACCUGGGCUACAAACGUCAUACAAUGGCUGAAACAAAGAGAAGCGAAGCAGUGAUGUGGAGCAAAACUCAUAAAAGCAGUCUCAGUUCAGAUUGUAGUCUGCAACUCGACUACAUGAAGUCGGAAUCGCUAGUAAUCGCAGAUCAGCAUGCUGCGGUGAAUACGUUCUCGGGGUUU
rnacentral:rRNA from 1 species